GAAAAAGCAUGGUAUCCAACUCUUGAUGAUAUCUUAUAUCUAGAUCUAGAAUUGUGUCGCAAAAAAUGCGACCAAACCUAUAAUAGAUUCUCAUCAUCAAAAUCAAAACAUAGAUGGCAAAGAUGCAUACAAUUGUGCAAAAAGCUGAACCAAGAUAUAGAAAAUAUGUGGGGGACAAACGAAUAGAUAGAAAAAAGUGCACCUAGCUAGCUUACUACUUUACUAAUGGUAAGUAUUUAAUAUAUUUGAUUUUUUAAUUAUU
rnacentral:lncRNA from 1 species